rnacentral:rRNA from 1 species
GAUGAACGCUGGCGGCGUGGAUAAGGCAUGCAAGUCGAACGAACUUUUUAUUUCCAGAGAUUGAGAUUAUAUCAAGAUCAAAGGUCGUUUAAAGUUAGUGGCGAACGGGGUAGUAACACAUGGGAACUUAACUAGAAGUCAGGAAUAGCCGAUCGAAAGGUCGAUUAAUACUUGAUAGUCCCUCCGGGGUAAAGAUUUAUCGCUUCUAGAGAGGCCUGUGUAGUAUCAGCUAGUUGGUAGGGUAAUGGCCUACCAAGGCUAUGACGCUUAGGGGAGCUGAGAGGCUGACCCCCACCAUUGGAACUGCGACACGGUCCAAACUCCUACGGGAGGCUGCAGUCGAGAAUCUUCCGCAAUGCGCGAAAGCGUGACGGAGCGACGCCGCGUGAUUGAUGACGCCCUUCGGGGUGUAAAGAUCUUUUAUGAGGGAGGAAAUUUUUGACGUUACCUCAUGAAUAAGGGGCUCCCAAUCUCGUGCCAGCAGGAGCGGUAAUACGAGAGCCCCAAGUGUUAUCCGGAAUUAUUGGGCGUAAAGGGUGCGUAGGUGGUUUGGUUAGUCUUUCGUUAAAUCUCCGGGCUUAACCCGGAAACCGCGAAAGAAACGGCCAGACUAGAGGUUGUGCGGGGUGUAUGGAACUCAUGGAGUAGGGGUGAAAUCCGUUGAUAUCAUGGGGAACACCAAAAGCGAAGGCAGUACACUGGCACAAAUCUGACACUGAGGCACGAAACCUAGGGUAGCGAAUGGGAUUAGAUACCCCAGUAGUCCUAGGCCUAAACGAUGUUCUCUUGCUUUCGGGAGUAUCGACCCUCUCGGAGGCGAAGCAAACGCGUUAAGAGAACCGCCUGGGAAGUACGGCCGCAAGGCUAAAACUCAAAGGAAUAGACGGGGACUCGCACAAGCAGUGGAUUAUGUGGUUUAAUUCGAUGAUAAACGAAGAACCUCACCCAGACUAGAAAUCUACACGACAGAACGCCGAAAGGUGUUCCUUCUUCGGACGGGUAGACAGGUGAUGCAUGGCCGUCGUCAGUUCGUGGUUUGAAUUGUACCCUUAAGUGGGCUAACGAACGCAACCCUCGUCGUGUGUUACAAGUGUCACGCGAGACUGCCUAGCCCUUUGCGCACAAAUGGAAGUAUCCAUUUGUGAAUAAAGGGCUGGGAGGAAGGAGAGGAUGACGCCAGGUCAGCAUGUCCCUUGAUGUCUGGGGCUACACACAUAAUACAAUGGGUGGGACAGUGGGUCGCGAUGGAGUAAUCCGGAGCCAAUCCCCCAAACCCAUCCUUAGUUCGGAUAGAGGUCUGAAACUCGACCUCUUGAAGUUGGAAUUGCUAGUAAUCGCGGAUCAGCUAGCCGCGGUGAAUACGUUCUCGAGUCUUGUACACACCGC